GAUGAACGCUAGCGGCAGGCCUAAUACAUGCAAGUCGGACGGGAUUCAGGAGCUUGCUUCUGAUGAGAGUGGCGCACGGGUGCGUAACACGUAUGUAACCUACCUUUAUCAGGGGGAUAGCCUCUCGAAAGAGAGAUUAAGCCCGCAUAAAAUCACAGCACAGCAUUGUGUAAUGAUCAAAUAUUUAUAGGAUAAAGAUGGGCAUGCGGAACAUUAGCUAGAUGGCGGGGUAACGGCCCACCAUGGCGACGAUGUUUAGGGGGUCUGAGAGGAUGGCCCCCCACACUGGUACUGAGACACGGACCAGACUCCUACGGGAGGCAGCAGUAAGGAAUAUUGGUCAAUGGGCGGAAGCCUGAACCAGCCAUGCCGCGUGCAGGAAGACGGCCCUACGGGUUGUAAACUGCUUUUAUACGGGAAUAAACCCAGAUACGUGUAUCUGGCUGAAUGUACUGUAAGAAUAAGGAUCGGCUAACUCCGUG
rnacentral:rRNA from 1 species